AGGAGGAACAACCCCAGUGGCGGGGCCAGCUCUGGAGCCCUGGAGUCAGCUCCCGCAGUAGCUCAAGAGCUCUGUCUGCAGGGCCUGGAGGCUCCAGGGCGGG
rnacentral:pre_miRNA from 1 species